rnacentral:rRNA from 1 species
UACGUAGGGUGCAAGCGUUAAUCGGAAUUACUGGGCGUAAAGCGUGCGCAGGCGGUUUUGUAAGUCUGUCGUGAAAUCCCCGGGCUCAACCUGGGAAUGGCGAUGGAGACUGCAAGGCUAGAGUUUGGCAGAGGGGGGUAGAAUUCCACGUGUAGCAGUGAAUGCGUAGAUAUGUGGAGGAACACCGAUGGCGAAGGCAGCCCCCUGGGUCAAAACUGACGCUCAUGCACGAAGCGU